AUUUUAUUCAUUAUUUAGCAUUAUAGAUACCAAAUAAAAUGCUAAUAAGUAAUAA
rnacentral:sRNA from 1 species